CAAAAAAUAGUUUAAUUAGAAUACUAGUUUUGGGGACUAGAGGUGGGUGUUGGCGACUCUUUUUUGA
rnacentral:tRNA from 1 species